rnacentral:rRNA from 1 species
UACAGAGGGUGCAAGCGUUAAUCGGAAUUACUGGGCGUAAAGCGUGCGUAGACGGUUGCGUAAGUCAGAUGUGAAAGCCCCGGGCUCAACCUGGGAAUUGCAUUUGAGACUGCGUAGCUAGGGUGCGGAAGAGGGAAGCGGAAUUUCCGGUGUAGCGGUGAAAUGCGUAAAUAUCGGAAGGAACACCAGUGGCGAAAGCGGCUUCCUGGUCCAGCACCGACGUUCAGGCACGAAAGCGUGGGGAGCAAACAGG